GCCUUGGUGGAACAACUGGCAGAUCGUCCUAGUCUUAUAUUUCAAGUUGUUCCGCGUAAUCCGUGCGAAGGCGGAGGUUCGAAUCCUCCCCAAGGCA